rnacentral:rRNA from 1 species
CUGGCUCAGGACGAACGCUGGCGGCGUGCUUAACACAUGCAAGUCGAACGAUGAACCUCCUUCGGGAGGGGAUUAGUGGCGAACGGGUGAGUAACACGUGGGCAAUCUGCCCUUCACUCUGGGACAAGCCCUGGAAACGGGGUCUAAUACCGGAUACGACUACCGACCGCAUGGUCUGGUGGUGGAAAGCUCCGGCGGUGAAGGAUGAGCCCGCGGCC